UCUUUAAUGCCUUUAAAGUUAAUUAUAUGAUACUGCGUUGCAAUUUGACAGGACUGGAUAUGGUCUGUCGGAUGCAAUCCUUUUUCCAUAACUUCCCAGGGCUGGCACAUAUCACAGUUUCAGUAGUUUCAGUCAGAUACAAUUGGUCGGAGUUAUAUAAUCACGACUCUUGAAGAGUCGAUACAACUGGUCAAUUCUGCCACUCAUCGUCUACUAAUGGAGCGU
rnacentral:misc_RNA from 1 species